rnacentral:rRNA from 1 species
UGCCCUAGUAACGGCGAGUGAAGCGGCAACAGCUCAAAUUUGAAAUCUGGCUCUCGGGCCCGAGUUGUAAUUUGUAGAGGAUACUUUUGAUGCGGUGCCUUCCGAGUUCCCUGGAACGGGACGCCAUAGAGGGUGAGAGCCCCGUCUGGUUGGAUGCCAAAUCUCUGUAAAGUUCCUUCAACGAGUCGAGUAGUUUGGGAAUGCUGCUCUAAAUGGGAGGUAUAUGUCUUCUAAAGCUAAAUACCGGCCAGAGACCGAUAGCGCACAAGUAGAGUGAUCGAAAGAUGAAAAGCACUUUGAAAAGAGAGUUAAAAAGUACGUGAAAUUGUUGAAAGGGAAGCGUUUAUGACCAGACUUGGGCUUGGUUAAUCAUCUGGGGUUCUCCCCAGUGCACUUUUCCAGUCCAGGCCAGCAUCAGUUUUCCCCGGGGGAUAAAGGCGGCGGGAAUGUGGCUCUCUUCGGGGAGUGUUAUAGCCCACCGUGUAAUACCCUGGGGGGGACUGAGGUUCGCGCAUCUGCAAGGAUGCUGGCGUAAUGGUCAUCAACGACCCGUCUUGAAACACGGACCAAGGAGUCGUCUUCGUAUGCGAGUGUUCGGGUGUCAAACCCCUACGCGUAAUGAAAGUGAACGCAGGUGAGAGCUUCGGCGCAUCAUCGACCGAUCCUGAUGUUCUCGGAUGGAUUUGAGUAAGAGCAUACGGGGCCGGACCCGAAAGAAGGUGAACUAUGCCUGUAUAGGGUGAAGCCAGAGGAAACUCUGGUGGAGGCUCGCAGCGGUUCUGACGUGCAAAUCGAUCGUCAAAUAUGGGCAUGGGGGCGAAAGACUAAUCGAACCUUCUAGUAGCUGGUUUCCGCCGAAGUUUCCCUCAGGAUAGCAGUGUUGAACUCAGUUUUAUGAGGUAAAGCGAAUGAUUAGGGACUCGGGGGCGCUAUUUAGCCUUCAUCCAUUCUCAAACUUUAAAUAUGUAAGAAGCUCUUGUUGCUUAAUUGAACGUGAGCAUUCGAAUGUAUCAACACUAGUGGGCCAUUUUUGGUAAGCAGAACUGGCGAUGCGGGAUGAACCGAACGCGAGGUUAAGGUGCCAGAGUAGACGCUCAUCAGACACCACAAAAGGUGUUAGUACAUCUUGACAGCAGGACGGUGGCCAUGGAAGUCGGAAUCCGCUAAGGACUGUGUAACAACUCACCUGCCGAAUGUACUAGCCCUGAAAAUGGAUGGCGCUCAAGCGUCUCACCCAUACCUCGCCCUCAGGGUAGAAACGAUGCCCUGAGGAGUAGGCGGACGUGGAGGUCAGUGACGAAGC